UCCUACGGGAGGCAGCAGCUAAGAAUAUUCCGCAAUGGACGAAAGUCUGACGGAGCGACGCCGCGUGGAUGAUGAAGGUCGGAAGAUUGUAAAAUCCUUUUAUAACUGAGGAAUAAGCAGUGUGAGAGAAAUGCAUUGUGGUGACUGUAGGUUAUGAAUAAGCAACGGCUAAUUACGUGCCAGCAGCCGCGGUAAU
rnacentral:rRNA from 1 species